UUACUAGAUGGCUGAAAAUAAGCUUAGAUCUCUUAAAUCUUUAAAUAGUAAAUAUAUACUUCUAGUAAA
rnacentral:tRNA from 1 species